GCACCGGUGGUGUAUGGAACACACACUAUCCUCAUAUCCAGAAAUUGUUCUGCAUUAUGGUGCAAUCGGGGUUCGACUCCCUGCUGGUGCA